rnacentral:rRNA from 1 species
UCUCCUGAAGGAACGUUAAAGACGAUGACGUUGAUAGGUCGGGUGUGUAAGCGUAGCGAUACGUUGAGCUAACCGAUACUAAUGAACCGUGAGGCUUAACCUU